CCCUUAGAUGUUCUGGGCCGCACGCGCGCUACACUGAUGCAUUCAACGAGCCUAUCCUUGACCGACAGGUCCGGGUAAUCUUUGAAUCUGCAUCGUGACGGGGAUAGAUUAUUGCAAUUAUUAAUCUUCAACGAGGAAUGCCUAGUAGGCGCAAGUCAUCAGCUUGCGUCGAUUACGUCCCUGCCCUUUGUACACACCGCCCGUCGCUCCUACCGAUUGGGUGUGCUGGUGAAAUGUUCGGAUCGGCCGUUUGUCGCGGUUUCCGCGUCAUGUGGCUGAGAAGUUCAUUAAACCCUCCCACCUAGUGGAAGGAGAAGUCGUAACA
rnacentral:rRNA from 1 species